rnacentral:rRNA from 1 species
UACAUAGGUCCCGAGCGUUGUUCGGAUUCAUUGGGCGUAAAGGGUGCGUAGGCGGCGGGGCAAGUCUGAUGUGAAAUCCCGGGGCUCAACCCCGGAACUGCAUUGGAUACUGCCUUGCUAGAGUACUGGAGAGGGAACUGGAAUUUACGGUGUAGCAGUGAAAUGCGUAGAGAUCGUAAGGAAGGCCAGUGGCGAAGGCGAGUUCCUGGACAGUUACUGACGCUGAGGCACGAAGGCCAGGGGAGCAAACGGG